UACGUAGGGGGCAAGCGUUGUCCGGAUUUAUUGGGCGUAAAGAGCGUGUAGGCGGCCAGGUAGGUCGGUUGUGAAAACUGGAGGCUCAACCUUCAGAGGUCGACCGAAACCCCCUGGCUAGAGUCCGGGAGAGGAGAGUGGAAUUCCUGGUGUAGCGGUGAAAUGCGCAGAUAUCAGGAAGAACACCCGUGGCGAAAGCGGCUCUCUGGAACGGUACUGACGCUGAGACGCGAAAGCGUGGGGAGCGAACAGG
rnacentral:rRNA from 1 species